rnacentral:rRNA from 1 species
GAUGAACGCUGGCGGCGUGCUUAACACAUGCAAGUCGAACGGUGAAGGCGGAGCUUGCUCUGCUGGAUCAGUGGCGAACGGGUGAGUAACACGUGAGCAAUCUGCCCCUGACUCUGGGAUAAGCGCUGGAAACGGCGUCUAAUACUGGAUACGAGCUGCGAAGGCAUCUUCAGCAGCUGGAAAGAACUUCGGUCAGGGAUGAGCUCGCGGCCUAUCAGCUUGUUGGUGAGGUAACGGCUCACCAAGGCGUCGACGGGUAGCCGGCCUGAGAGGGUGACCGGCCACACUGGGACUGAGACACGGCCCAGACUCCUACGGGAGGAAGCAGUGGGGAAUAUUGCACAAUGGGCGAAAGCCUGAUGCAGCAACGCCGCGUGGGGGACGACGGCCUUCGGGUUGUAAACCUCUUUUAGCAGGGAAGAAGCGAAAGUGACGGUACCUGCAGAAAAAGCGCCGGCUAACUACGUG